rnacentral:tRNA from 4 species
UUGGAUGUAGUCAAGUUUGGUAAGGCAUCGAAAUUUGAAUUCGAUAAUCGGGGGUUCAAAUCCCUCCAUCCAAU